UACGUAGGUGACCAGCGUUUGUCCGGAUUUACUGGGCGUAAAGAGCGCGCAGGCGGUCGUUCAAGUCGAGUGUGAAAGCCCCCGGCUCAACUGGGGAGGGUCACUCGAUACUGAGUCGACUUGAAGGCAGGAGAGGGAAGCGGAAUUCCCGGUGUAGUGGUGAAAUGCGUAGAUAUCGGGAGGAACACCAGUGGCGAAGGCGAGCUCGUCGUGCCCGUGGUCGUG
rnacentral:rRNA from 1 species